rnacentral:misc_RNA from 1 species
AAAUAUUAACAAAAAUUAACUAAACACCAAAAAUGAUAAUAUAAACAUAAAUAAAAACUAUAUUAAAGAACUAUGUAUCACCUAGGCCAACCGAGUAAAGGAUUUGAGGCUAAGGAUCUGGCAACCAGAGAGAGUGAACCGUCUCUCUUGCCAUCGGCAGAGGGAUCUAGAAAUGCUGCUAUAGAAAAGUUGUCCAACACUCAGAUGAGCACAAAUAAGAAGAACUCCUCGAUCACAAGGAAACAUGCAAGCUAAAAUAGCACUUCCGAAUACCAAAUGAACCCCAACACACUAAGACAACUUUACAACACAUACGGGCAAGGAGACUUCUGCAAGGAUCAAAGAGCAAGGACCAUGGAAAACUGGUGAAUCGGGAAAGGUUAGGCAGUGCUCAAAUGUCUUACUCUUGUAAAGCCUAAAGGGAUCAAAACCCAACACCACACGAUCG